UACGGAGGGUGCGAGCGUUGUCCGGAAUCAUUGGGCGUAAAGGGCGCGUAGGUGGCCUGGCAAGCGUGCGGUGAAAGCUCGGGGCUCAACCCCGAGUCGGCCGUGCGAACUGCUGGGCUCGAGCACUGUAGAGGCAGGCGGAAUUCCGGGUGUAGCGGUGGAAUGCGUAGAGAUCCGGAAGAACACCGGUGGCGAAGGCGGCCUGCUGGGCAGUGGCUGACACUGAGGCGCGACAGCGUGGGGAGCAACAGGAUUGAG
rnacentral:rRNA from 1 species